GAUGAACGCUGGCGGCGUGCCUAAUACAUGCAAGUCGAGCGAACGGACGAGAAGCUUGCUUCUCUGAUGUUAGCGGCGGACGGGUGAGUAACACGUGGAUAACCUACCUAUAAGACUGGGAUAACUUCGGGAAACCGGAGCUAAUACCGGAUAAUAUUUUGAACUGCAUGGUUCAAAAGUGAAAGACGGUCUUGCUGUCACUUAUAGAUGGAUCCGCGCUGCAUUAGCUAGUUGGUAAGGUAGCGGCUUACCAAGGCAACGAUGCAUAGCCGACCUGAGAGGGUGAUCGGCCACACUGGAACUGAGACACGGUCCAGACUCCUACGGGAGGCAGCAGUAGGGAAUCUUCCGCAAUGGGCGAAAGCCUGACGGAGCAACGCCGCGUGAGUGAUGAAGGUCUUCGGAUCGUAAAACUCUGUUAUUAGGGAAGAACAUAUGUGUAAGUAACUGUGCACAUCUUGACGGUACCUAAUCAGAAAGCCACGGCUAACUACGUG
rnacentral:rRNA from 1 species